UCUUUCAAGUGCAAGCAGUUCCCCUCCCUUCACCUCUCCGUUUUCUUUCUUCCUCUUUGCGUUAGCCCCUGUCCUGCCACGAUCGUCGACCUCGAAGUGCCGCUGUCCGUCGCCUCCUGGACCCGCUGGAUUUGAAGCUGAAUGCUAGCUAUCAACUCUUCGUGUUGGUGUAAGUGCCUCCAGCCGCCAGUUGCUUGCUCACCCGCACAUCGUUCUUCUCUCCCAGCCGUACCGCACGUCUGUCGUUCCGUUGCCGUUGACCGAAGCCAACCUUCGAACGCCAUCCCUCACCUCAACUUCUUUGCGCGUCAUUCCAGCCAUCUGUAGCCGUCCGCCUAGCCCCUGUCUCGCCUCGCCACCAACUUUGUAGUCCUUCACUAGCGUCUUCCGACCAAGCGUCGGGUCUCGCACACCUUGCUAGAAUUUGGAUCUUGGAUUGAGGGUUCAAGGUGUCAAGAACCACUAUCCAACGACAUAAGGUUCCGGAAUGAUGACUUUUGUUUGGGGCAUUUGUUGGGAGGUUGGGAGCAAUUUUGAAACGAGCUAUACUUUGGGGAUUGGUUCAAGAAUUCUACUCAAGAUAAAAAGAGGACUUUGAAUUGCUAAUUUCCUUGGACAUAAAUUUGAGGUAAGUAACUAUACCCUCGGGCCAGGUAAUAUUAAACAUGAUGUAUUGAGGUUGUUUAUUAAAUUGAUUGUUAUGUAUGAUUUUCUUGAGUGAGUUACAUGAACUAGAUACACAUGAAAGAGGAUUGAAUGCUAGCAUGAUUUAAGUAAAUUUUAUUCUUGGAGAUUCUAUUGAAUCUGAGGAUGAUGAGAUGUAUAUGUGUGUUAUGGAACUAUGAUGAUGAGAUGUAUAUGUAUGUUAUGGGACUAUGAUGAUGAGAUGUAUAUGUAUGUUAUGGAACUAUGAUAAUGAGAUGUAUAUGUAUUAUAUAGAACCAUGUUAUGAUACUUGUGAUGUUGAAAUCGUGAUAGUAUCCUCACUAUUAGUUAGAUACCCACUAGAGGUUGUGUGUCCUUUAGGAUUCACUAGAGGUGUUGGUUUCCUUCGGGAUCCACCAGAGGUGUUGUUUCCUUCGCGACUCACUAGAGUUUCCUUCGGGAUUCACUAGAGGAAGUGGUUUCCUUCAGGAUCCACCAGAGGUUGUGUUUCCUUUGAGAUUCACUAGAGGUGGUGUUUCCUUCGAGGUUCACCAGAGGUUGUGGGUCCUACGGGACCAACUAGAGGUAGUGAAUAUACUUAACUACAUGAGAAUGAAGUUUAGUUAUUCAUGUAUGUGUGUGUCCCAUGAGGACUAGGGGAGUGCUUACAUCCCAUCAAAGGUAGGCAUCUAGAGGACAUAGAUGCUUAGCCUGACCCCAGUAGUGGGGUUACUUACUGAGUAUCCCGUUCUCAUUUUUAUGUUUCAGGUAAGUGUAGGGACGCGUCGGUGAAUGACAAGAGGAAUCCAUGAACGAGCCACUGGGGACUAAUUUUAUGCUUACACUCAUGAUAUUUAGAUUUCUUUUCAUGUUUUUCAACUUUCAGUUUUAAUGUUAAUGUUUGAAACUUACGGUUAAGAUUUGUUUUCAGACCUAUUUAUUAUCAUUUAUGAUU